GCCGGUGUAGCUCAGGGGUAGAGCGUUUCCUUGGUAAGGAAGAGGUCUUGGGUUCAAAUCCCAACAUUGGCU
rnacentral:tRNA from 1 species